UACGAAGGGGGCUAGCGUUGCUCGGAAUCACUGGGCGUAAAGCGCACGUAGGCGGCUUUCUAAGUCAGGGGUGAAAUCCUGGAGCUCAACUCCAGAACUGCCUUUGAUACUGGAGAGCUUGAGUCCGGGAGAGGUGAGUGGAACUCCGAGUGUAGAGGUGAAAUUCGUAGAUAUCGGGAGGAACACCAGUGGCGAAGGCGGCGAUCUGGGUAGAUACUGACGCUGAGGUGCGAAAGCGUGGGGAGCAAACAGG
rnacentral:rRNA from 1 species